rnacentral:misc_RNA from 1 species
GAUGAAGAACGUAGCGAAAUGCGAUACUUGGUGUGAAUUGCAGAAUCCCGUGAACCAUCGAGUCUUUGAACGCAAGUUGCGCCCGAAGCCAUUAGGCCGAGGGCACGCCUGCCUGGGCGUCACACGUCGUUGCCCCCCCAUCUACUCCUUCGGGAUUGCGGGGGGCGGAUGAUGGCCUCCCGUGCGCCUCGCCGCGCGGUUGGCAUAAAUGCCAAGUCCUCGGCGACGCACGCCACGACAAUCGGUGGUUGCGAAACCUCGGUUGCCCGUCGUGUGCGGUCGUCGCGCAUCGAGGGCUCGAAAAAAUUGCCGGGUUCCGGCUCGGCUUUCAACGCGACCCCAGGUCAGGCGGGGUUACCCGCUGAAUUUAAGCAUAUCAAUAGGAGGA